UAUAGCAGCCAUAUCACUCUGCAUCCCACUGAAGCUAAACAGGUGUGAGCCUGGUUAGUAACUGGAUGAGAGACCUCCUGGGAAAAACUAAGGUUGCUGCUGGAA
rnacentral:rRNA from 1 species